ACGGGGGGGGCAAGCGUUGUUCGGAAUUACUGGGCGUAAAGGGCUCGUAGGCGGCCAACUAAGUCGGACGUGAAAUCCCUCGGCUCAACCGGGGAACUGCGUCCGAUACUGUCUGGCUUGAGUCCUGGAGAGGGUAGUGGAAUUCCCAGUGUAGCGGUGAAAUGCGUAGAUACUGGGAGGAACACCGGUGGCGAAGGCGGCUACCUGGACAGGUACUGACGCUGAUGCGCGAAAGCUAGGGGAGCAAACAGGA
rnacentral:rRNA from 1 species